CUACAGUAUACUUGAGGGGUCCAAACAGCUUUGUGGGGCCAAAAUGCUGGAACCCACAACUUUAAAGUGCUUUUUGAGGGUUAAGACGUGGUUUUAGGGUUAGGGUUAGGAUUAGGUUAUGGUUAGGGUUAGAGUAAGGGGCUAGGGAAUGCAUUAUGUCAAUGACGGGUCCCCACGAAGAUAGUGAGACGCACUCUGUGUGAGUGUAUGUGUGUGUGUGUGUGCGUGUGUGUGUGUGUGCUCAGGUUAGGAAAUGAACUAACAAUGUAU